GACUCCAACGUACUUUACCUGUUCAGUCACAUUGAUUUCAGAAUCAAAGAGACGUAAAGGUCGAACACCAUUACGGUUUCGCUUUUCCGUGAAAAGAACAAUAGAUGUUUUACUCGGAUUUACCGAAAAGCCAUAUUGGCGACACCAACCCUCAACUACCUGAAGAGCGUUUUGCAUCAGGUCGAAAAGGGUGCUGAUGCACAUACCGACUAACAAUGUUAGGUAGUCGUCGGCAAAACCAUAAGUAGGAAAACCGCCAUUAUUGAUUUGCCUCAAUAGCGUAUCUGCUACGAGAUUCCAUAAAAGUUGUAAUAAGACUCCCCCUUGGGGGCAUCCACAAACACUCAAUUUCCUAAUCGCCGCUUGACGCAAUGUCGAGAAGAGAUGUCGGUUUUUGAGCAUUUGGUGAAUCCAAUUGGAAAUCAUUGGAGAUAUACCAUGACCCCGUGCGGCUUCCAGUAUGGCAUCGAAAGGCACGUUGUCAAAGGCACCCUCGAUAUCUAAGAAAACACCCAAGCAGGAUUGCUUUUGAGCGAAUGCCUUCUCGAUAUCGUAAACAACUUUGUGUAGAAGAGUCACAGUGGACUUUCCAGAUUGGUAAGCAUGUUGGUUCACAUGAAGAGGCACAUUGGCCAGAUAAACAUCACGGAUGUGAUGAUCGACAAUGCGUUCUAAGCAUUUCAGAAGAAAAGAGGUCAAACUGAUAGGUCUGAAGCUCUUUGCUUCUUCAUACGACGCGCGACCCACUUUCGGAAUAAACUUCACAGUAAUAUCCCGUCAGGAUUUGGGAAUAUACCCUGUAGCAAAACUGCAAACAAGUAGUUGUUUCAAAACAUGUUUGAAAUGAUCAAAUCCCUUCUGAAGAAAAAUAGGAUAAAUCCCAUCUGCCCAGGAGAUUUGAAAGGCGCAAAGCUUUUAAGUGCCCAUUCAAUCGAUUCUAAAGUUAUGAUACUCCGAGCCGAAGCUAAAGAAUCAUAACUACAAGAAAAGACAUCAGGUUCAUCCGAAGAUGUAAUAUCCACACAUCCAGGGAAGUGUGUACUGAAUAAACAUUCCAAAACUUCCUCAUCAGAGGAAGUGAAAUCACCAUUUGGCAAACGAACUUCGUUCACUUGAAAAUCCUUAGAUUUUGCAAGGAUUUUGUUCAAUCGACUGGCUUCACUCAGACUGGAAACAUUUGUACAAAGGUUUUUCCAGCCGGAUCGUUCAGCAGACCGAAGAGCUUUCUGGUAGGCCUUGCGAGCCGACCUGAAAGCCUCCGAUCCAGCCGAACGUCGUCUGUUCCAACUCUUUCUACAUUGUUUCCUGAGCUUCGCCAGAUCGGAGUUCCACCAAGGGGUUCCUCUUGUGGUCUUCACAGACCGCAGAGGGCAGGCUUCUUCAAAAGCUUCCAUGACGAAGGCCGUUGUAGUAUCAACGGCAUCAUCUAAAUCACUUGGAGUGUCAAUUGACGGUGAGUAUCCAUGAAAUUUGGCUGCAACCAAAUCGGUAAAGAGAUCCCAGUUGGUUGGGGAUUCCUUAAACGCAAAGUUUGCGAAGUAACAUUCACAUGUUCAAACAAGAUGUAGCGAUGGUCAGAUAAAGAUUCUUCAUCUGACACAUGCCAAUUGGUCAGCUCAUGACUAAUUCUGCUAGAGCAAAGCGUUAUGUCUAACACUUCCUCUCUACCAGAUACCAUGAAGGUUGGGCGGUUGCCUAUGUUAAGUAAUCCAAGAUCUGUACUACUUAAGUAUUCCAUCAAACUGGAGCCUCUCAAAUUGAUGUCUGAGCUGCCCCAGAUUAUAUGGUGAGCAUUAGCAUCACUGCCAACAAUUAGCGGAAGGCCUUUUGAAGUGCAGUAUGCAAUGACUUGCUUGAAAGCAUCCGUAGGGGAUGGUUCAUCAUGCGGUAAAUAAACCGAACAAUAAACGUAUUUCCUGUUGAGGUUUCCAACAGAUACAUCGAUUGUGAUAGCACAAACAUCUCUGGUAGUUAGUUCAGAGAUGAGUGUAGCAACGAUUGCGUUGUUGACAAGCACACAUGCUCGAGGCAUGACACGUGAGUUUGCCAUUUCAUUUUUACUGAAAGUAGCAAACACCGGAUUCACAAGGUUUCCUAGAUAGAAAUUCCCCUUACGAAAGUAAGGUUCUUGGACUAACGCCACUUGGGCUGUACCAUUUUGCAUAAGUCUACAAAGAUUGAUCGUUGCUGUUCUUUUGUGCUGAAGAUUGAUCUGAGCUAUCCUAACCGUAGCCACUACCCAAACUAGGCAAGAUUAAA